UACGUAGGUGACAAGCGUUGUCCGGAUUUACUGGGCGUAAAGAGCGCGCAGGCGGUCGUUCAAGUCGAGUGUGAAAGCCCCCGGCUCAACUGGGGAGGGUCAUUCGAUACUGAUCGACUCGAAGGCAGGAGAGGGUAGUGGAAUUCCCGGUGUAGUGGUGAAAUGCGUAGAUAUCGGGAGGAACACCGGUGGCGAAGGCGGUUCUCUGGGCCUUACCUGACGCUGAGGAGCGAAAGCGUGGGGAGCGAACAGG
rnacentral:rRNA from 1 species